GUCAGAGCGUACUCUCCCAUCUUCAAAACCAAGACCAGUGCUGCCCUGCUGGAUAUGCUUGUGCAGGAGGGUCCUUCCAGCCCAAAGCAAGUGAGCAGCCUGUGGCCUGGCUUUUCUCCUCCCAGCAGUUGCGUGGCCUCCCAAGCCACGCCUGCUGCUCCCUGGAAGCCUUUGAGGCCAUGGCAGUGUGUUGGCAAGGGAAGCACUUCUCUGGGGCAGCUGGGCACAUUCCUUCCUCUGGCAGCUUUCCAAGUCUCCCCUGCCUUCUCCAGGUGCCUGCCAUGGUGAGGUACAUCCACCAGUGGCUGGUGGCCAAUGAGUUUCCUGAGUACAAUCUGUACAGGCCCCUUCUGGAUCUGACAGAGGCACAGCCCUCUGACGUGGUGAUGGCUCUCCUGCGUGUGGCCCCAGUGUGUGACAGAGCUGCUUUGGCCAUGUGGAAGAGCAUCAUGUGCUCGCCCAGGACUGCAGAGCCGGCCAUGCUCGCACUCCUCGAGGUGCUGGGGAGCUGGCCAGAGCACAGCACGUGCACCUCCGAUGGGGACCACACGGCUGUCCUUGCCCUGGCUGUGAGUUUCUGCCUUUGCUGGCCCCAAGGCCACCCCUCCAGCAGCUCUCCAUCCUCCCUCCCCCACGGCG
rnacentral:lncRNA from 1 species